AAUCCCCCGUGCCCUUAGCGGCGUGGAACCACCCGUUCCCAUUCCGAACACGGAAGUGAAACGCGCCAGCGCCGAUGGUACUGGGACCGCAGGGUCCUGGGAGAGUAGGUCGGUGCGGGGGAU
rnacentral:rRNA from 13 species